UAAAAAGAUAAGCUAAAAUAAGCUAGUAGGUUCAUACCCUAUUUAUAGAAGUAAAAUCUUCUUCUUUUUA
rnacentral:tRNA from 1 species